AUCAGAAACUCCUCACACACUAAUUUCUGAUAAUCAGGCACCCUUAUCUCUAAAUUAGGGUGUUUUUUAUUGACAUAAAAACAUAAAGUCAUAACUGGCACAUGUGACAAUUAAAUUACUUUUCUCAUCCCCUUCCGGUUUAGGAGAAUGUAUGGCAUA
rnacentral:misc_RNA from 1 species